rnacentral:rRNA from 1 species
GUGGGGAAUCUUGCGCAAUGGGCGAAAGCCUGACGCAGCCAUGCCGCGUGAAUGAUGAAGGUCUUAGGAUUGUAAAAUUCUUUCACCGGGGACGAUAAUGACGGUACCCGGAGAAGAAGCCCCGGCUAACUUCGUGCCAGCAGCCGCGGUAAUACGAAGGGGGCUAGCGUUGCUCGGAAUUACUGGGCGUAAAGGGCGCGUAGGCGGAUCGUUAAGUCAGGGGUGAAAUCCCAGAGCUCAACUCUGGAACUGCCCUUGAUACUGGCGAUCUUGAGUGUGAGAGAGGUAUGUGGAACUCCGAGUGUAGAGGUGAAAUUCGUAGAUAUUCGGAAGAACACCAGUGGCGAAGGCGACAUACUGGCUCAUUACUGACGCUGAGGCGCGAAAGCGUGGGGAGCAAACAGGAUUAGAAACCCCUGUAUCC